UACAGAGGGUGCGAGCGUUGUCCGGAAUCACUGGGCGUAAAGGGCGCGUAGGUGGCGGCCCAAGUCCGUGGUGAAAGCUCGCCACUUAACGGCGAGUCGGCCACGGAGACUGGGUGGCUCGAGCACUGUAGGGGCAGAUGGAAUUCCGGGUGUAGCGGUGGAAUGCGUAGAGAUCCGGAAGAACACCGGUGGCGAAGGCGGUCUGCUGGGCAGUUGCUGACACUGAGGAGCGAAAGCGUGGGGAGCGAACAGG
rnacentral:rRNA from 1 species